rnacentral:tRNA from 1 species
GCCUUCGUGGUGCAGUGGUCAGCACGCUGGGCCUGUAUUCUAGAGGUCCGUGUUCGAGUCCCGGAGAAGGCG